AGCGAACGCUGGCGGCAGGCCUAACACAUGCAAGUCGAGCGCCCCGCAAGGGGGGCGGCAGGCGGGAGAGUAACACGUGGGAACGUACCCUUUGGUUCGGAACAACCCAGGGAAACUUGGGCUAAUACCGGAUAAGCCCUUACGGGGAAAGAUUCAUCGCCGAAGGAUCGGCCCGCGUCUGAUUAGCUAGUUGGUGGGGUAACGGCCCACCAAGGCGACGAUCAGUAGCUGGUCUGAGAGGAUGAUCAGCCUCACUGGGACUGAGACACGGCCCAGACUCCUACGGGAGGCAGCAGUGGGGAAUAUUGGACAAUGGGCGCAAGCCUGAUCCAGCCAUGCCGCGUAGGUGAUGAAGGCCCUAGGGUUGUAAAGCCCUUUCGGCGGAGAAGAUAAUGACGGUACCCGCAGAAGAAGCCCCGGCUAACUUCGUGCCAGCCGCCGCAGUAA
rnacentral:rRNA from 1 species